AGAUUAGGGGUGCUAGCUUGCUAGAACCUACACACAGGUGCUGCACGGCUGUCGUCAGCUCGUGUCGUGAGAUGUUGGGUUAAGUCCCGCAACGAGCGCAACCCUCGUCCUUAGUUGCUAACAGUUCGGCUGAGCACUCUAGGGAGACUGCCUUCGCAAGGAGGAGGAAGGUGAGGACGACGUCAAGUCAUCAUGGCCCUUACGGCCAGGGCUACACACGUGCUACAAUGGGGCGUACAGAGAGCUGCGAUACCGCGAGGUGGAGCCAAUCUCUUAAAGCGUCUCUCAGUUCGGAUUGUUCUCUGCAACUCGAGAACAUGAAGCUGGAAUCACUAGUAAUCGCAGAUCAGCUAUGCUGCGGUGAAUACGUUCCCGGGUCUU
rnacentral:rRNA from 1 species